GUGAACGCUGGCGGGAGGCCUAACACAUGCAAGUCGAACGGCAGCACAGUAAGAGCUUGCUCUUACGGGUGGCGAGUGGCGGACGGGUGAGGAAUACAUCGGAAUCUACUUUUUCGUGGGGGAUAACGUAGGGAAACUUACGCUAAUACCGCAUACGACCUACGGGUGAAAGCAGGGGAUCUUCGGACCUUGCGCGAUUGAAUGAGCCGAUGUCGGAUUAGCUAGUUGGCGGGGUAAAGGCCCACCAAGGCGACGAUCCGUAGCUGGUCUGAGAGGAUGAUCAGCCACACUGGAACUGAGACACGGUCCAGACUCCUACGGGAGGCAGCAGUGGGGAAUAUUGGACAAUGGGCGCAAGCCUGAUCCAGCCAUACCGCGUGGGUGAAGAAGGCCUUCGGGUUGUAAAGCCCUUUUGUUGGGAAAGAAAAGCAGCAGGUUAAUACCCCGCUGUUCUGACGGUACCCAAAGAAUAAGCACCGGCUAACUUCGUG
rnacentral:rRNA from 1 species